rnacentral:rRNA from 1 species
AGUUUGAUUCUGGCUCAGGAUGAACGCUAGCUACAGGCUUAACACAUGCAAGUCGAGGGCAGCAUGUUGGUGCUUGCAACCAAUGAUGGCGACCGGCGCACGGGUGAGUAACGCGUAUCCAACCUUCCCUAUAGUAGAGGAUAGCCCGGCGAAAGUCGGAUUAAUACUCUAUGUUUUCCAAUGCAGACAUCUAAAAUGGAACAAAGGUUCACCGCUAUAGGAUGGGGAUGCGUCUGAUUAGAUAGUCGGCGGGGCAACGGCCCACCGAGUCGACGAUCAGUAGGGGUUCUGAGAGGAAGGUCCCCCACAUUGGAACUGAGACACGGUCCAAACUCCUACGGGAGGCAGCAGUGAGGAAUAUUGGUCAAUGGGCGCGAGCCUGAACCAGCCAAGUAGCGUGCAGGACGACGGCCCUAUGGGUUGUAAACUGCUUUUAUACAGGGAUAAAGUCACCUACGUGUAGGUGUUUGUAGGUACUGUAUGAAUAAGGACCGGCUAAUUCCGUGCCAGCCGCUGC